rnacentral:pre_miRNA from 1 species
AUAGUACUCCCUCCGUUCCGAAUUACUUGUCGCAGGUAUGGAUGUAUUUAGAUGUAUUUUAGUUGUAGAUACAUCCAUUUCUGCGACGAGUAAUUUGGAACGAAGGGAGUAAUAA